CUUGACCGUGCAAAGGUAGCAUAAUCAUUUGUCUCUUAAAUGGGGACCUGUAUGAAUGGCUUUUCAUUCUCUAGCUGUCUCCCUUCUUCCCCCUUUAAACUUCUAUUUACGUGAAGAAGCGUAAUUUUGACAGAAAGACGAGAAGACCCUGUCGAGCUUCAGCUAAACCUAAGUCCCACUACAUUUCCUCUCAGAGAAAAAGUAAAGUCCUUAGAACAAGCUUUGGUUGGGGCAACCAUGGAGUAAAAACAGCCUCCAGUUUUUCAGGUAGAAAACUAUUCUCCUAAAUAUACACUUUUAGAACCAAAAAUUUUGGAAAACGGAAAAAGUUACCGCAGGGAUAACAGCGUUAUCUUUUCUAAGAGCCCUUAUUGACGAAAAGGAUUGCGACCUCGAUGUUGGAUUGGGGUAACCAGAGGGUGCAGCAGCUCUCCAAGGUUGGACUGUUCGUCCAUUAAUUCCC
rnacentral:rRNA from 1 species